AGUUUCACAGGGUAGGUACAAAAUUUUAAAAAAGCUGAGCUAGAGAGAUAAAAUGGCAAUGUAAAAUAAGAAAAGAAUAAAAAAAAAGGUCAAUAAUUAGGGCCAAAAGCCUGGCAACCCACACCAUCCCCCCCGGCAAAUAAUCCCUAGCCACUCCGUCGGCAUUAAUCAUCUUCAUUUCAUCUCCGGCCAACAUCCCGCCGCCGACCGACCCAAUAAUCUCCGUCCUUUUCCCUACUCUGUAAUAUCUAUGUUUCUUUCGUUCCCACUGUUUUGCCUUAAAUUCAUUUCAAGUGUGGAGACCAACUCAACCCCUCAUCAACCGGCUACUUCAAAUUAUCGAAUCUCACAAACCCACACAAUAAAACUCAGAUUUCUCAGUUACAACAAAAUUAGAAGGGUUAAAAAUAGUGAUUUUCCAAGUAGGUGACUCUUUGAAUUUGACUUGCAUUAAAUGUAUCAAACAUGCCUAGAUGGAGUAAAUUCCCAUAGCUGCUUAAGUAUUCAACGAUUGAAUUGCAUUUAAGAACUCAUUAGGCAAAUAAAGAUCCCAGAAAAAUGAAAAUAUCCACUUGAAAUGAAUCCAAUUAUUAGCCUGAAAGAAACUAGGACCUGGACGUGGAAAAUAUCCACUUGGAAUGAAUCCAUGAACUGCAACCUCCACUAAGAAGAAUUUUGUCGUGGAAAUUGGUAAUAGUGACUGCUCGUGGACAUCCAAAAUCUUGUGGCACUGUGAAGUCAGCACCAUACUCAGUAAGACUGAAGUUUGAUUAGGAAAUCAUCAAAAGUCAGUAACUCAAAUUGUUUUGAGUCGAACUUCAUGUGAAAAUCGUGACCAGAAACAGAAAGUAAAAGGGAUUUGGAUUUUAGCUAAGUAAAAAGGAUGUCAUAAUCACACAAGCCGGCGAUGGUGACUGCGGCAUCCGGUUUUGAAUUUGGGUCGGAGAUUAUGGGCCAAGGAUGGAGAUUAUUGGGUCGGUUGACGAUGGGAUGUUGGUCGGAGAUGAAGUGAAGAUGACUGGCGCCUCUCGGUGUGGUUGGGGAUUAUUUGGCGGCGAGGGCGAAUGGCGUGGGUUGCUAGCCUUUUAGCCCCCAAUUAUUGACCUUUCCGUUUUUAUAUUAUUUUUUUAUAUUACACUGCCAUUUCAUCUAUCCAGCCCAAUUUUUUUUAAAAUUCUGUACCUACGUGUGAAAUUUUGCCUGUACUUGUAGCAUUUUCCAGGCUGAAUUUUGAUCCAAAAUUGGCCGUAUUUCUAAAAUCUCAUGCAUUCUGCUUCGAUUCCCGUCUAUAUUUUGGGGACUUUCUACUUGAAAGAGAAAACGGACACUGCUUUCUCUCUCGUCUCUCUCUCUUUGUUAUGGCCGCUUGAACUCUGUUUCUCUAUAAAUCAAUCCUACGCACACAUAAAUUCUGAACUCUGUAUCUCUCUAAAUUAAACCUAUACAUAAUACAUGCGCCUACGUAUAUACAUAAAAAUAUUCAGUCUCAUAUAGUACUCUCACGUAAUUUAUCGUCAAUCUUAAGGGUGAUUUUGAGCAACGUAAACCCCUUAUUUCUUCUAUGAAAUUUAGAAUGGAGAAAACUGAAGAGUUAAGUAGCCCCAGGUGGAGUGCAUCAUUUGUGCAAACAACUGAAGAUGUAGCCAGCGCUGUUGCUGCAGCAGCGGCUUCAGCUGAUGCUUCUCAUUCAUUGCGACCUUCUGUGGUGUAUUCAUUAAAAGAUGAAAGUGGUAGCCCGCUUCAAAGACUUCAACACCAUGUUUCCAGAAUAUUGAAGGGUCUGUCAAGUCCUCCAGAAGUGAAAAGUGGACCUUACAACCCAGAAAUACUAACUAGUCAAAAACGUCAGUGGGCCAACUUUCAGUUGCAGUCCCUGGAUCACAGAGUUUGGAAAGAGCCAUCGAAGCUUUUCGAGAGCAUGGUAGUUGUGGGACUUCCUCCAACUUCUGAUAUUAAGGCUCUUCAAAAUUUGUACUUUGCUAGAAAGGUUGAAAGUUCAGGGAGAAUUCGAAGUGCGCUUGGCAGUCAGUAUCAAUCUCGUGUAGAACCUAACCUUGAGCCUCAGGUCUUGUUUGUUUACCCUCCGGAUAAACAGCUGCCGCUCAAAUACAAGGAUCUCCUCUCAUUCUGCUUUCCAGCAGGAAUAGAGGUUAAUGCUGUUGAAAGAACUCCAUCGAUGAGUGAGUUGAAUGAAAUACUUUUGGGACAGGAGCAUCUCAAACGGAGUGAUCCGUCAUUUGUCUUCCGGCUGCAGGUAGCGGACGAUUCAACUUUAUAUGGCUGCUGUGUUUUAGUCGAAGAAAUAAUCCAAAAUCCUUCAGGAUUGAUUUGUAUGAUUUCGGAUAGGCAACCUUGCCGACUGAGUCUGAGCCGCCAUAUUUUAACCACACGUCGUUGCUAUUGCAUUCUUUCCAGGCUUCCAUUUUUUGAAUUGCAUUUCAGUGUAUUGUAUAGCAUCUUCACUGAAGAGAGGCUGGAACGGUUGACAAAACAGAUUGCAUAUCUAGAUUUGGAGACACCUGUAGGCUAUGAUGUGGUUGAGACCCUAGAAGAAAAAUCAGGUGGUAUAUUACUAGGAGAUGGAGCAGUCAACGUAUUGAAGGGAACAGUUGAAGCAUCCCAAUCAAACACGAAUUGUUCCAUCUCAGGAAGAGUGAUGGAUAAUAUGUCUCAAAUUGAGGCGGUCCUUGACUCAAAAAAGGAACUUAAUGCCACUACUGUUGCAGUUGAUCCUGAAACAGAGAAGCUUGCAUCUAGGGGAGAGUUGGUUGUUGAUACUUCUGUUGUUGACCAUUUUAUUGAAAACCAAUCAGCUGAAAAGCGUUUACCGAAUGCGGUUUUACCACUACUACAGUAUCAGCAAUGUGAAAGCUAUGUAUCUACCUCCAGUUUUCAAGGCUCUCCAAGUGAAGAAAUACAUUUCAAAAUUGAAAGUGAUGAGGCACAUAUGGAAGAGACAUCGUUUUCAGGCCAAGAUAUCUCCAUUGAACACAGUGAUAUACUUGAGUGGGCAAAGGCUAACAACCAUGGUUCCUUGCAAAUUAUUUGUGAAUACUACGAAUUACACUGUCCUGCACGAGGUUCAACGGUCAAGUUCCACCCCCUCGAUCACCUGCAUCCUAUGGAAUAUCAUAGACCUGAUGAGACAGUUUUAUGCAUUGCCGGAUCAACAAUUGAUUUGAGAAUAUGCAAUACGAGUUUGGAAUUAGCGGAGUGCGCUCAUGGCGGAGGAGGAGGCAGCUGCUUUAUCAGUAUGGGCUACUGCAUGCUUAUGUGGUUCCUUGCGACUGGAGCAUCACCUGCAUCACGACAUGCAUAUUUGAGAGGCCACUCGUGCCAUCAGUUAUUAACAUUAUUUGCUGGAGCUCUGCUGGAGAAACAGAUUGCGGUUGUUUGUUCGAAUUUGGGUAUUUUGUCUGCUUCAGUUCUUUCGAUUAUCCCCUUGAUUCGUCCUUAUCAGUGGCAGAGCUUGUUAAUGCCAGUUUUGCCUAAUGACAUGCUGGACUUUCUGGAUGCACCUGUUCCUUACAUCGUAGGCAUAAAAAGCAAGACAGCUGAGUUACAGUCUAAGCUAACAAAUGUCAUUCUUGUGGAUCUGAACAAAAACCAGGGGAUAGGUGAAAUCACCAGCUAUACCACAGUUGCCUCAACAUAGAGAACUGUAUUCGUCCCUUAGUCCUUACCAUGCGAAGCUAGUAGGGGAAAGCUAUUUGGGGAAGAAAAGGCCACUUCAUGAAUGUACUGAUGUGCAGGUUGAAGCUGCCAAAAGUUUCCUUGGAGUAUUGAGGUCUUACUUGGAUUCUGUGUGUUCCAACCUUCGAUCUCAUACAAUUACUAAUGUCCAAUCAAAUGAUGACAAGGUAUCUUUGCUAUUAAAGGAAAGUUUCAUUGAGUCAUUCCCUAGUCGAGAUCAACCUUUUAUGAAGCUCUUUGUGGAUACACAGCUGUUCUCUGUCCACACAGAUUUUGUACUCUCUUUCUUCCAGAAAGAGUAGUGGUCUCAUGCAAAGUCGGUGGAACGCACGUUUUAUAUGGUGAAAUUCUCCGGCUUUACAUAGUAUAAAAGUAAGUAGUCGAAAGAUGAAAGUUCCCCAUUCUUCCUCAAACUCUGCACAUCAUAUAAGCAUUCUCGUGCUUCAGAUAUUGGUCCUGUGACUGGCAAUUUUGUACCAUAUGUGAAAAUGUAACUUUUUUUACCCAGGCAGGCAGCAAUUAGAGCAGGAAACAGAAUUCAAUUGCUGCAUUUAGUUCUCCUGACUACCUUAUGCUGCCAUUAAAUUUGAAGCAUAUGGAGACAAACUCUAACUCAGCCAGCCUUAACUGGGGGACCAUGUUUGGCUGGGCUGUGGAGAGGGCUGUCUCUUCGUUAAAAUCUUGACCCCUCGGUAAAUAAGCUCUUGUUACCAAAGUGAUGCCCAAUAUGUAACCAAUGGGACAACAGAUCUGAUCUGUCCAAAUUGAAAUUUCUCUCAAGACCUAUUUAAGUGGCAAAUAAUUUCGUCAAAGCAA